GACGAACGCUGGCGGCGUGCCUAAUACAUGCAAGUCGAGCGAAGUUUUUCUGGUGCUUGCACUAGAAAAACUUAGCGGCGAACGGGUGAGUAACACGUAAAGAACCUGCCUCAUAGACUGGGACAACUAUUGGAAACGAUAGCUAAUACCGGAUAACAGCAUUAACUGCAUGGUUGAUGUUUAAAAGUUGGUUUUGCUAACACUAUGAGAUGGCUUUGCGGUGCAUUAGCUAGUUGGUGGGGUAAAGGCCUACCAAGGCGACGAUGCAUAGCCGACCUGAGAGGGUGAUCGGCCACACUGGGACUGAGACACGGCCCAGACUCCUACGGGAGGCAGCAGUAGGGAAUCUUCCACAAAGGGCGAAAGCCUGACGGAGCAACGCCGCGUGAGUGAAGAAGGAUUUCGGUUCGUAAAGCUCUGUUGUUAGGGAAGAAUGAUUGUGUAGUAACUAUACACAGUAGAGACGGUACCUAACCAGAAAGCCACGGCUAACUACGUG
rnacentral:rRNA from 1 species